rnacentral:rRNA from 1 species
AGGCCACUGCUAUCAGAGUUCGAUUAAGCCAUGCGAGUCGAGAGGUGUAAGACCUCGGCAUACUGCUCAGUAACACGUGGACAACCUACCCUAAGGAGGGGGAUAACCCCGGGAAACUGGGGAUAAUACCCCAUAGACUAUGGAUGCUGGAAUGCUUCGUAGUUCAAAGGUCCGCCGCCUUAGGAUGGGUCUGCGGCCGAUUAGGUUGUUGUUGGGGUAACGGCCCAACAAGCCUGUAAUCGGUACGGGUUGUGGGAGCAAGAGCCCGGAGAUGGAUUCUGAGACACGAAUCCAGGCCCUACGGGGCGCAGCAGGCGCGAAAACUUUACAAUGCGAGAAAUCGUGAUAAGGGAACUCUGAGUGCCCGUAAAAUCGGGCUGUCCAUCUGUUUAAAUAACAGGUGAAGAAAGGGCCGGGCAAGACCGGUGCCAGCCGCCGCGGUAAUACCGGCGGCUCGAGUGGUGGCCACUAUUACUGGGCUUAAAGCGUCCGUAGCUGGUCUGUUAAGUCUCUGGGGAAAUCUUCCGGCUCAACCGGAAGGCGUCUCAGGGAUACUGGCAGACUAGGGACCGGGAGAGGUGAGAGGUACUCCAGGGGUAGGAGUGAAAUCCUGUAAUCCUUGGGGGACCACCUGUGGCGAAGGCGUCUCACCAGAACGGCUCCGACAGUGAGGGACGAAAGCUGGGGGAGCAAACCGGAUUAGAUACCCGGGUAGUCCCAGCCGUAAACGAUGCGCGUUAGGUGUAUCGGUGACCACGAGUCACCGAGGUGCCGAAGAGAAAUCGUGGAACGCGCCGCCUGGGAAGUACGGUCGCAAGGCUGAAACUUAA